GAAAAAGAAGGGGGAGCCCCUCGGCAUCAGUCAAGAAUGCAAGCGUUUCAGGAUGCUUUAUUAGACUGCUCCCUAGAAGAUAUUGGUUACGAAGGAGAUAAGUUUACUUGGUUUCGAGGAGGACUAAGAGAAAGGCUAGACAGGGCAGUGUCUAACCAGUCAUGGGCGCAGAUGCAUCCUUGGGCAGGAUUGAUAAACCUGGAGAUGGGAAAAUCUGACCAUCGGCCUAUUUGUCUAGACACAAAUCAUCUCCGUGAUGUAGCUGAUCGCCAGAGGAAGGAAAGAAGAUUUGAGGCACGUUGGUUAGCAGAAGAUACAGUGGAGGAAAUCGUCUGA
rnacentral:rRNA from 1 species